rnacentral:pre_miRNA from 11 species
GUUCAAGCAGUAAAGGAGAGUUUUAGAUAGUCAUUUUCACGUACAGCAAUGACUAUCUAAAACUCUCCUUUACUGCUUGAAC